UGUGUGCUGACACCUGCUAUAGAGAGCUGCUUAUUUGCAUGAUAAACAUGCAGCCCAUCUUGUUAAGCGCCCUGUGAAUGCAAACUGAUGUCGCUCGUUGAUCCUGCACCUGAGAGGUCAGCACCCGAACACACACCGGGGGCAAUUACCGAAGAAAUCACCGGCGGUGCUGGUGAGGCAGCCGGGCCGCUCUCCUUAUGGAAAUCAAGCCUAAAGGCACUGACAUGGUCACCUCAUUGUCGGGGCGCGUGGGUCUUUUAGGUGCAGAUGGAGAGGGAGAGGAGCUGUACUGCAGCGAUCUGCCAGCCUUAGUGGACGAGCCAGCCACCAGGCAGCCAGCAGAGACAGUGCAUCAGCAGGGGCCAGGGCUGUGGACAUAUGUCUCCUCCGUCCCUCACCCACCCACACCCCCUUCAGUCCUCCUAAGAGGGUGCCAACCCCUCGCAUCCUCCCUCCGUCCCGCUUCAACUCAACUCCCCCCACACUGUCCAGAGACCUGUCGGGCCAUCUGUUGAAGCAGGACCAGAGGAGCUGGUCUACUGGUCUAGAGGAAAUGCUACUGUAGCAUGGCUAUGUGGCUAGCCUGACUGUCGCUAACUAUCAGGGGUAUUUUAUGUGUUUGUGUGUGUGUGUUUGUGUGUGUCGGGGCAUCUCAAGGAAGAUGGUCCCUUGCACAUUUGUCCAACAAAAACAAAUUGUUGUAUUUUUGGGAGGACUUUUAUCAUCUAAGCUUGGUCGUAAAGGACCAUACCAUUAAAAAAUGUGCCUAUAUAAGUAAUUCAUGAGAAAACAGCACAUUAUUUCUCAUAUAUAUAAAAAGUUUAAUUUAUAAGCAAUUUAAUACCAACAUAAAUUUAAUACACUCAGAGUUUUUUUUUUGUGCAAUCUAGCCCCGGUCAGACAUGCACCACCAUCAGUCUGAUGACAGUUUAACAUGUCGGUCUCGUGUCUGAAUAAGCACCCUGGUCACAACGGCAAUCCUACUAGGUCGGACAUUUCCGUAUCACUUUCAACACGGCAGAAGUCUGAAGAAUUGAAUGCCUUCAGAUUGUUAACGUAAAGGCUUCAGCAGCACAAGCACAAGGUAGAAUUUGCUAUCUAAUAACUUGCAAAAAUGAAGUGAGUUCACUGCUAGAGGUGAUGGUGAGCGUCAGUCUAGGUAAUUUAUCACAGUGAUCAUUUGGUCAUCUUUUUAAAAAAUUGUCAACGUUUUGUUUUGUUUGUUUGUUUCAUCACAUUGUAAUGUCAAACUGUCCUCAUUGUCACAUUUAGGGAUGCUCUGAGCAAAAAAGUGACAUGCGGAAAAAUCAGCACAAUCACAAGCUUUGUUCUCAAUAAAUUAAGCUUCUGAGACAAAGAACCAGCAAACAUGGGCAUUGUGAAAAUGAUCAAAAGCAGCAUCCUGUACACACCAAAUGUUUUUUGUUUUUUUUUACCUGCAUUACCAUGUGACCAAAAAUAAAGGGGAUACAUUUUUACUGUGAUGGAUCCCUUUUCUUAAGUAAAUUUUAAAUCAAAACUUUCAUAGUUUAGAGGUGAAACCUUCGACUAAAAGCUAAGAGCCAAUCUUAAACCUGCAGUGCAAAACCUUUGUCUCCCCCUUCUGGCAGUGAGAGUAAUUACCCAAACACUGUCGAUGCAUGCUUAUGACACAUGCCUACAGUCAGUAAUGGAAAGGACAUUUACUCAAGUACUGUACUUAAUAAUAAAUUUGGGGUACUUGUACUCCAAACAAUCAAUCGGUUAAUAAUUAAUUGAGCUCCACCUAAACCAACGACAACAGUAAAAUCCUGCUUUUACAUUAAAGCAUCAGUAAUAAUAAUCUAACGAUAUAAUAUAUAAUAGUAUAACAGUCACAGGGGAUAUUUCUCUGCAUUGAGUAGCUAUUUUUACUUUUAAUACUUUAAGUACAUUUUCCUGAUUAUACUUACAUACUUUUCCUUAAGUAACAUUUUGUAUUUUUACAGUGUGGUAUAAGUACUUUUACUUAAGUAAAAGAUCUGAAUACUCCCUCCACCGCUGCCUACAGGGAGCUCGCCCCAGGCUCGUGUUCAGAAAUAGUUACAGAGAAAAUACAGAGAUAUUUCCACAAUUCCAAGACAAUAAUCCAGAGUAAGAUCUACAUAGCUGACUCCAUCAGGCUUAUAAUACUCCAUCAAAACUUUUAAAAUGAUGAGGAAAAUAAUACUUUUAUUCUGCACCUUUCUAAAAGCUCUAUGGAUGUUUUUUGUUUUUUUUAAAUAUUCGCCUACAUAAACGUGUUAUCAUUAUAACCUUUACUGCAAAAUACAGAGAGAUUGACCAGGCGGUGAUAAGCUUAAUCAGCACUGUGUGAACUCAUUUGGCAAUGGCUUGAAUGUAACAGACGUUCAUUUAUAUGUAAAAGUCCCGCACUCCAACUUUAAAACUUGUGGUAUGCUUUGGAAAAUGGUCAGCAGGGAUGUAAAACAUAUGCAUUGUAUACUCAACUGGCCAACAAUAUUCAAAACCAGCUGUAUGGUCCUUUAAGCAGUCUUAUAAACAAGUGUACAGGAACCAGCAGGAAAAUGGCUGAAUGAUCCCACUGAGAGCUCAACACCUGCACACACUCAGCUCAACGAAACGGCUGCCCUCAUAGGCUGCAAUGUCUUUCCCUCAUUUUGGAGAUCUGCUCUGUAGAUCUGGUCUGUGUUAGCUAUAGUGUACAGAAACCUGAUACAUUUAAAUGUUCCUGCAUGGAGAUAUUUAAGCAUAGCUGUGGCAUUAAACACACUCCAUCCAUUUCCAGACAUUUUUUCUAUUAAUAAACAACAAAAACAUGCAAAAACUUUCAAAAUCCUUCGCAACUCAAAUGUCACAUCCUAUAUUCAUAUUUCUGUAGUUAAUCAGUUAAAAAGUUGUAAAAAUCAAACAGGAAUAAAAAUAUUUAAAUACUAAAACCACUAACACACUAGAGUUUAAAUCAUUAUUUUCAUUACUGAUUAAUCCAUGAAUAAAUUUCUAUCUUUAAAAUCUCAGAAAAUACUGAAAAUGCCUUCAAAUAGUUUGUUUUCUUGAACCAACUGUCCAAAAUCCAAUUUACAAGAAUAACAAAACAGAGAAAAGCAUUAAAUCCUCACAUUUUAGAAGCUGAAACCAGAGAACUUUUGAUUAAUUUUUGGUGAUACAUUUUCUGUCAAUUGAAUAAUCAAUUAAUCAACUAAUCGCUUUAGCACCAGACAAGUCUUUCGACUGUCCAUGCUGACAAAGCAGGGCAGAUUCUUCUCAACCUUGAAAAUCACGGUUAUAAUGGGGGUUUAAAUCAUGUAGCGUGUUCCCGGCUCGGUACAUCUUAUUCGGGCAAUCUAGACUAAGCCAAGCGAGUUUAGCGAGGUCUAGUGUGUGUGUGUGUGUGUGUUUGCGUGUGUUGGUUGGACCCUCCGCGGCUGUGUGUGUGGGUGGUUGCCUCCACCCAUUAGAACGGGUCAUCUCUCUCUCAUGGAAAGUUUUCACGGCUGUAGAGCGGAUUAGGAGCAGGGAGAGAGAGGAGGCGAGAGAGGAGGAGAGAUUAUUGGGCCGGCUGGAAGGAGGAAGGAGAUAAUCACAAAAAGAGAGCAUUAGCAUCUACACUUCAGCGUUUGUUUGUGGUAUGUAGCUGACACUCAUCCGGAGUGCCCAGGUUUACAGUGAGUGCAAAUGGAGGAACAAGUGAAGGCUGGCAUCUCGGCACAAGUGGCCUUUUAACAAAGAUGAGAGAAGGUCUGAAGAGAAGAGAGAGGAGAAUGUUGGGUUAAAGUGAGACUGUACUAACACAGUUAUAAUUACAUAUUUACACAAUACCACUAGACCUUAAAAGCGAGGAAAUAAGACUGAUGUUUCCAUCCAGCUGUCAAAAGCUGGGCUUAAGUUGUACAUGUUGUUGUUGGUUCAUGCACUGAUUCAAGGUUCAAAGCCAAAGAAAUGCCGCAAACAAUGAUCUACUGGCCACAGACUCACAGUUAGCUGUGUGACCAUUUGUAGAGGGUGAGAUGUGUUGCAGGAUUUAGUUUCUGACCAAAGAUACUUUUAUUGUUGUGAAAUAAACUAUUCACCAGGCCAUCAGCUCAUGCCAACCAAUUUUCUGCUAUUUACUAAACACAAUUUAUUGUGUAGGCUACUUUUCAAUUAAACAACAAGAAUUCAGCUACAAUUCAAUUACAUUUAAAUUGCUGAAUAUCUAUUUCAAAACACACUUUGAGUCACUGAACCAAACGCUCUUUCAAAAACACACUUGGAGUUUCUUGGAGUUUGGUCCUCAACAAACCGAUUGCUGACAGAAGCGUCAGUGCUCAUGCUUAAGCACACAGCAUGUUAUAUAUAGUGAAAAACACUGACAAGUCAACGAUGCAUACAACUUGAAUGUGUGAAAAGUGUAACUGAAACUCAGUGUUGCACGGUGAGCGAUGCCCUGUGAAUUAGCUUGAAGAUACCACAAGAUUUGGUUCCAAUCUGACACCAAGUAAUACAGGCCCAGAAUCACCAAGAUCAACACCGAUUUAUUAUUAAAGGCUGCUAAUGUACUGUCAUGUAGGGAGAGCGAUGUGAUUUAUGAGGUGAAUGCAUCAUUAAUAUGCUACUUCUGAAUACAUCGCCAAACAUCAUUUCUUUUUACUUUCUUUUAUACUGUUAAUGAUUUCAUCACAUGCACGUUAAGACCCAAGACCGUUUAUGAAGGUAAAUAAAUGUGUACUGUGUGUCUUCUCUGAACAAAUAUGGUGAUGGCUACGAGCAUGCACACAACAGCAGCAGAGACAGAAAGAGUGCAUGCACUAAGAAGAGUUUUGCCCAGAAUGUGGUCUGAGAUGAGUCCUUUUUGGUACCAACUCUAAUAUUGCUAUUUAAAACAAGACUUAGUAUCGGUAGUAUCAGUGCUUUAGGUAUUAAUCUUUGCACCCCUGCAUUAAU